AUUGAACGCUGGCGGCAGGCCUAACACAUGCAAGUCGAACGGUAACAGGAAGCAGCUUGCUGCUUCGCUGACGAGUGGCGGACGGGUGAGUAAUGUCUGGGAAACUGCCUGAUGGAGGGGGAUAACUACUGGGAACGGUAGCUAAUACCGCAUAACGUCGCAAGCCCAAAGAGGGGGACCUUAGGGCCUCUUGCCAUCGGCUGUGCCCAGAUCGGAUUAGCUAGUAGGUGGGGUAACGGCUCACCUAGGCGACGAUCCCUAGCUGGUCUGAGAGGAUGACCAGCCACACUGGAACUGAGACACGGUCCAGACUCCUACGGGAGGCAGCAGUGGGGAAUAUUGCACAAUGGGCGCAAGCCUGAUGCAGCCAUGCCGCGUGUAUGAAGAAGGCCUUCGGGUUGUAAAGUACUUUCAGCGGGGAGGAAGGGAGUAAAGUUAAUACCUUGGCUCAUUGACGUUACCCGCAGAAGAAGCACCGGCUAACUCCGUG
rnacentral:rRNA from 1 species